CCCUAUACAUGCCAUAACUUAAACGUGUUUCGAUAUAAAAUACCGAGCAGUUGUAGUUGAUAGUGUGGACGAUCUCCGACUUCUUUAGGAUCCUUGAAGUAGCUUUGCAAUACUCGGUACCAAUUAUAGCCAAAUUCACCAACUUAGUCUUCAACUUUAUUCUUCCCUUUGUCUAACCUCGAGUUUCGUACUUCUUGAUCUAAAAUAGUAAAUUUAACUUAUUUAAUAGUCACAUUCAUCAAAAUAGCCCUCGACUCUAACUUUUUCAAAAUUACAAUUUUGCCCCUAAACUUUUACAUAAUUAUAUUUUUGCCCCAAGGCUCGGAAAUUAAACUUCAUCUCUUAUUCUUAUGUUUUAUAACAUUCUGAAUAUUUUUCCCUUCUAUGGCAACAUCAAAUUCUAAUUUAAUCCCUUAUCAAUACUAAUUUUAUUUUUGCAUUCUAACUCUAUAUUCUCUCUUAAUUCUUACUAUAAACUCAGUUUAAUUCUUCAAUUUCCCCAUAAAUCCCUAAUUUCGGGAUUCUUUCAAUUUAAUUCCUAUCAAUUCAAAACUUAUGUUUUAUUUUACAAAUCAAUCCUUUAUUCAAUUCCAAUCAAAAUUUCUAUCAAAUACAUCCCUAAUUUAACAAUUUAUUCAACAUGAACCAUGCUUAAUAAUCUACUAACUUCCAAAAUUUCAACUUAAAUCAAGUAGUAUUUUGUUCUAGGAUUUCAAAAAAAAUAUCAAAAUUAAGAGAAAAGGGGAUUAAAUUGACUUACCAAAUUACUUUGAACAUUAAAACCCCAAAUUUCCCUUUUUCUUUUCUUUUCUUUCUUUCUUUCCUUCCUUCCUUCUCUGUUUCGUUUUGCUCUCUGUUUCUUUCUUUCUCCCUUCUCUGUUUUGUUUUGUUUUGCUCUCUGUUUCUUUUCUUUCUUUCUUUGUCAUAUAUAUAUAAUAAUAUAAUAAUAUAAUAUAAUAUAAUAUAAUAUAAAAACAUAAUUAUUACUUACGCAUGUAUAAUAUAUAUUUUAAAUUAAAAAUAUCUUAGAUUUUUCUUUUGUUAUGCCGCCUCAACUUUAGAAAAAGGCAUAAUUGCCUAUUUGGUCCUUUAACUUUUCUUUAAUCUAUAAUUAAACUUUUAUCCUUACUUCAAUUUAGUCCUUUUUCAUAAUUAACUAUCAAAGCUUUAAAAUUUCUUAACGAAACUUUAAUAUUAUCCUGUUGACACUCCGUAAAUAUUUUUAUAAAUAUUUACGGCUCAGUUUAUAAUAUCGAGGUCUCGAUACCUCGUUUUCAACCCAAUUUACCUAAUAAUUUCUUUUAAAUCACAAAAUUCACUGAUUUAAAAAAUAUUUCUAAAAUCACACUUAACUUAUAAUUAUUAAUUAAUAAAUUUUUCUAACUUUUUCAUCAAUUUUAGUGAUCUCAAAUCACUAUUCUGACACUACUAAAAAUUGGGCUGUUACAGAAAUGGUUAGUAAAGAUUAUGUUUUGGUAUUAUGUAUGUGUAAAUGGUAGCUAAUACAAAGAAGUAGUUUCUUUGACAGUAGCAGUGACGUGAAUGUGAAAAAUCACCAUAAAUAGUAUAAAUGGAAUUAAAGAAUGAAUUAUAUAUGGAAUUAAAGCUUAUCAAGUAUAUUUUUAUAUAAAAGAAACGGUGUAGGCAAAGGAAUUUUUUAUUUUGAGAUAUUUGAAUUUUAGUGAGACAGGGUCAGAAUGGUUUUUGAAGUCCCCUGUUCUGAUUUUGGAAAAUCAUUAUAAAUUGUACAGAAAUAAUUAUGGGUCAUAAUUUAUAUGUAUAGAUUUCUUAGUGAGUCUAUUUUCAAAAGAAACAAAUGAUAACCUUAUAUGAAUUCUGUGCAAUUAGAUAAUUUAUUUUUAGUGCCAAGAGGUCAGACCUGUCGAGCUGUGAAACAGGGGAUACUUUAAUGAAUAAAUUGUACUAAUUGGCUAAGUCAAAAAUUCUGAAAAUUUUAUGGUAAGUAGGAAUAUGAGUCUAGUUUCAGAUAAAAUUUACAGAUUUAAAUUUUGAGUCUCGUAACUUGAGUUAUAAUUAAAUUAGUGACAAUCAUGCAGGUGGACAGUUUUGUUGUGAACAGUGAAUUUAAUUUUAAAAGUAAAUUUUUAUGCUCUGAAUUGGUAAGUUAAAUUGGAUGACAUCUCGUGCUCGAUUCCGGCGACGGUCUCGGGUAAGGGGUGUUACAAUGACCAACCUUCCCACAUAACUGGCACUGAAAUCACGAACCUGAAAAAUGACCUCGCCCACGACCACGAGCACCUGAUGAGGGUCGAUAAGCUGGUAGAGAAGAAUUAUUGUCAGCGGAGACAGUAGGCUGAUGAGUGACCAUGUUGGCAGAACUAGGAGCAUCAGACACAACUAGUUGCUAACGAGCUUCAGCAUCAAGUAACAUAGUAGUAACACUCUGGACACUGUAAGGAAUUGAACUCGCAGUAAUGAUUGUAAGUACUGACUCAUACUCGGACGAUAGACCAUUUAUGAUAGCUGUAACAUGUUCUCGUUCACUAAUAGCCUCUCCACAACUAAUAAGGCUAUCACAGUAGCCUUUAAUUUUCAUCAAAAACUCCUUUAUAGACAAAUCAGCCUUACGUUGAGAAUGUAACGCCCUUCUAUAAAACAUUAAUUGAGAAGUAGUUUUGCUGCCAAACAAACUAACAAGAGCAUUCCAAAUCUGGAGACUCAUAUCAAGACCAAUAAGAUGAGGAAGAACAACAAUACUCACCGAUGACAAUAACCACGACGCAAGAGCACUAUCUUGCUGUUCAAAACGAGCAAACUCCAGAUUUUCUUGUGAGAUACCAGCAUCAUCAAGAAAAAACUGAGAAGGAGGAACAAAUUGCGGAUCAAUAAACUUCUGAAGCUUCUAAGUUUUUACUGCUAAGAGAACUUGCUGACGCUACAACAAUUAAUUAUGAUCAUCAAGAAGCAGGCUGAUCUUUUUGGUAGAGAAAAACCGACUAUCAACCACUUUAUCCGGUAGAACUGACGACAUCGCCGGUGCAACAGAUUGAACAGCAGAUGGGCUAGAAGGGGAAGUCAUGAACGACUACCUCAAGAACGAACAAACCUCUGAUACCAUGUUAAAUUCUAUACUGAAGAAAUCUUGUAUUAAAUCAAGAGAAAGAAUACAUCAAGAUUAGUUUUUGAGAAGAACUUGUGCCACUAUAUAUAGGCAACAUGAAGCUGAUAACUGCUCAUAAUAACUAACAAUUAUUAGUAACUAAUAGCAACUAAUAAUUAGACUUAACAGAAUUCUCACAGAAGUCAAUUCCUGACUCAACCAUACUCUAACAAUAAUAAGCAAAGCUUUAGAGGCAAACUCUGUAACACCCCUAACCCGUCUCCGUCGCCGAAUCAGGGUUACGAGGCAUUACAAAACCAAGCUCACAUAAACAUAACUUUAAUAUCUAAUUCCAAAUGCAAGUCCAAUUCAUGAACAUAUAUAAUCAAAUUCAAGCAUGGAAGUUAAACUCUUUUCGCAUUGCUAUUUACACAAUAGGAUUCAAAAUUAUCCAAAACAUUAUCAAGCCUAUACAUGCCAUAAGAUCGAGUUCAAAUAUUUAACAAAAUACCAAAAAGAAAGUCGAUAGUGUGAUGGGCGGUGCUGAUGAUCCCCGAGCUCGUAACGCGUCUCCAAAAAAAAAUCUAUAAAAACGAAUGAACGAAAGCAAACAAAGUAAGCUUUUAUAGCUUAGUAAGUCUACAGCAUAUCUAUAAUACAUAUAAAAGAAUCAUAUAAUUCUUUAAGUAAAUUUAUUGAAAUUACAAUCAUCAAAUAUGAUUACUAAUCAAACACUACUUUAUUGAGUCAUUUUGUUUAAGUCUAAAAGGAUGUAUAUUUAUCUAAUACACAUAAACGGACAAAUGUAUAUACAUUAUAUGCAUAUAAUCAAGUUACUAGCAUAAUCCUUAACAGCAUAUACUGAUUUCUAGAGUACUUAUUAUUCGCACUUCAUCGAAUCCAUUUAAAUACAACUAUUCAACUACAUAUAUCAAAAGCCAAAUUUUUAUGCUUAUCAUCCAUAAAUGCCGAAUGCACAUAUGCACCUAUACCCAUCUAUGCCGAAUGCAUAGAUACAUACACUUAUUUUCACCUAUGCCGAAUGCAUACACAUAAAUAUAUUCACCUAUGCCGAAUGCAACAUAUAUAUAUAUAUAUACAUAUCUAUCAAUUGCUUAGACCAAAUAUAUGUAUAUAUAUAUGCUCAUCAAGUUAAUAUGACUAAAAUCAUGUGAUUGAACAUUUAUGUAUACAUCGAUUUCAUAUAAUCAAAAUCAUAGAGGUAUCAAUUGUAUAUUAUCACAUGCUUUAAACGGAUUCACCGGCAUUUAGCCUGCUAGGUUUUAAAACCUGAUUCAAUACACCGGCUCUUAGCCUGCUAGACUUAUAGUCCGAAAUGUGUCACCGGCAUUAAGCCUGCUAGACUUAUAGUCUGAAAUGUGUCACCGGCAUUAAGCCUGCUAGACUUAUAGUCUGAAUAAUUUCACCGGCGUUAAGCCUGCUAGACGUAAAGUCUGAAUUAUGUCACUAACGAUAAACCGAAUGAUACUGAGCUUUAACAAAAGAAUCUCAAUUCAUAGGAGUUGUAUAUCAUAAUGGUAUAUAGAAUUCACAUAAAAAUUCAGCUCAAUAAUUUAUAAACUAUAUCCUUAACCCACAUCGGUAUAAAAAGUUCAAUCAUCAAAUUCAACUCAAUAUCUAAAUUAUACAUCCGAAUAUAUAUAUAUAUAUAUAUAUAACUUAACACAUUGAAGCAUACUAUUAAUAUCGUACUUUCGAACACAUUAAGAUAAUCCAAGCUAAUAAUUUCAUCUCUUCAACCCCGUUCAAGAACCUUUACAAGAACGUACAUACCUAAUCGAAUCUCCCUUUUUCAUAUAUAAGUUUCAUACUUAAAUUUAUCACAAGAACAUAUACAUGCAUAGUUGCAUAGUCGAACCCCUUAUAAACUUGUAUAAAUGACAUACCUAAGUUCAAUACGAGAACAUAUAGAUGUAGAUUUGCAUAAUAUAUAUAUAAUUCACUCAUACUCUUAAUUAUUUCAACUAUCAUAUUUUUAAUUAUAAUUCAUCCAAAAACAGCUCAUAUACUUAUUUAUAUACUGAUUUUAUGACAUUAAAUAGCUAAUAGACUUACCUCGGAUAUCAGCAAACACGAUCGACUAUUCAAUUAUCUUCGACUUCCCCCGAUCCAAAUUCGUUUUCUUCGUUCCUUGAUCUAAACAUAGUCAAAUUUAACCUUUUUAUUCAUCAAAACAUUCAUUUGAGUCCAACAAUACAUAAAUGGGAAAAUUACCAUUUUGCCCCUAACAUUUUGCACUUUUUGCAAUUUAGUCCUUUUUGCACAAAACACAAAAUACACAAAAUUUGCCCAUAACACACAAGGGCCGAAUAUUCAUGGUUCUCAUACAAGUCCACACAUUGCAUUUAUUUCACAUUUUAGUCCCUUAAAAAUUUAUUUUCACAAUUUAGCCCUAAAUACUCAAAUUCAUCAAAAAUACCAAUACAAAACAUGUUAAUCUAAGACAUAUCUUCCAUUAUUCAUCAUCAAACAUCCCAAAACACAAAUAUUCAUCAAUGGCAUAAUUCAAAAUAUUCAUCAAUUCACAAAAUUAAGACAUGGGUUUUGAAGUAUUCAAAGCAACGAUCUCAAAAACGUAAAAAUCAUCAAAAACCGAACAAAAACUAACCUUGAAUUAAGCUUCAAAAGAUGACCGAACCUAGCUUAGGUUUCUUUCUUUUUCUUUUCUCUAGUUUCGGUCAAAAUAAGAUGAAAAAUGUGGCUUUUAAUUUGUUUGUCUUUUAAUAUAUUAACAUUAUAAUAUAAUAUAUUAUUAUAACCUUUAUACAUAAUAUAAAAACUAUAAUUUAUAAGCAUAAUGCGAUCCACUAUCUUGAAUAAUGGCCUAAUUUCCUAUUAAGGACUUCACAUUAUAAAGACAUUAGCAAGUUAGCACUUUACACAUUAAUUAGUCAAUUUCACAUUUUAUGCGAUUAAGUCCUUUUAUUAAAUUAAGCACACAAACAAUAAAAUUAAUUCACGAGGUUUUCACACAUGUAAAUUAACAUAUAAUAAACACAUGAAAUAAUAUUAAAAUAUUUUUUAACUCGGACUUGUGGUCCCGAAACCACUAUGUUCAAUUAGAGUCAAAAUCGGGCUGUUACAAACUCACUCAAUCCUUUAUGUAUUGGCUAAAGUAUUAAAAGUCUAGAUGCAUUCCAAGUGGUAUCAAGGGUGAACGGUGCAAUUAGGUGCUAGAAACCUUAUAUUGCUUGAGGUGUAAUAUGCAAAAAAUGUGCUAACUUGAGUGAAGGCAUAAUAUAUACAUGUGUGUGUUUUUGUGUGCAUAUAUAUAAUAAGCAUAAGAUAUAUAAUUAUCAUAAUAAACUCUAAAGAAUGAUUCAGUUUAUCUACUAAACAUGCAAAAUUUUCAUUUUCUUUCUUUUGUUGGGCCAUAUCCAUGAUUUCCUUAUGGUUUUGUGUUUGUUGCUGAAUACAUAAAUAUUGAGAAGUAAAGAGUUUGAUAUUAUCACCUAUCUUACUGGUAAAGUAAAGCUAAUGAAAGUAAAAGACAUUAAAUAGAAUUUCGAUUAGGUAAGCUUUUUUUUUUUUUUGCUCUUGCAUUGGGAAAGUGUGCACGCACUAGAACUUAGGUGCACCAGGUGUGCGCCUCCCUCAAAAGGGUUUGAAACGCUUUUGUUGUUUGGUGCUAAGGCCUAAGGCACAAUGCCUUGACAACACUGUACAUUCCCCAAUUUCCCAGAUAAGUUCCUAAUCUUCCUUGUAGCCAUUUAAGACUUUAAGGCAUUAUUAUGUUUGUUGAAACCAUCUUUUGAAAAACAAAAAUAUUUUAGGUUGUCGACUUUUUAAAAAAUUAAAAUUGGGAGUCGCCACCAAUCUUUAUUAGGGUGUGAUUGGAUCACCUAAAAAACGACUUUGGUCUACGAGUUUUAGAAAAACGGAUUCGGGAGUCAGUUACGUAUGAGGAAUGAUUAGCACCCUCGUAACGCCCAAAAUUGGUACCUAGUUAAUUAAUUAGUGUCUUAAGGUCGAGAAUUUAGAAAAAACGUAAUCCUUAGCAAAACUUAAAAGGCUACGUAUUAAGACCCUUAUUAUUUCAGAGAAAGAAGAUACCACACCCAAUGCGUUAGGGCACAACAUUCUAAUUUUCCCCAAAAUGAAUUGGGCCAAAAUACUUGUACAAUAAAAUUUUAAAAGAACAUCCACUUAUCCAAGAUUUAAGAAAUCACACCCAAUACGUUAGGACACGAUUCCUCUAGAAUCCCAAACUCGGAAUAUUUCCUUUACUUUAAAAGAACAUUCACUUAUCCAAGAUUUAAGAAAUCACACCCAAUACGUUAGAGCACAAUUCCUUUAAAAUCCCAAACUCGGAAUAUUUCCUUUAUUGUUUUUAGAAAAAAAUUUCAUUUCGAGAAAUCAAUCCGUCACAUCCAAUAUGUUAGGAUACAACGUGUUGAAUUUCCAAUAAUAAAUUCUUAUUUUUUGAUUAAAGAGAAAUGCUCGAUUGUUAGACUUAACGAAGAAAAUCGGAACCCAAUACAUUAGGGCUCAAUUUCCUUGAAAAUCCUAAAUUCAAGCAUUCUCUCAAUUUUGAAAAGUUUGAAAUCGAGUAAAGAAUGAUGUGAUGCUAUAUUAAAUAUACAAUGCAAUAAUAAAUAUUACAAUGGCCUAGAAAUAAUAUAAAUAAAUGAAUAAAUAAAAUCAAUAUACAUAAUAAAAAUAAUCACAUACAAAAUAUCAAAUAGAUCAUAAAAAACAAUUCUUUUUAACAUAUAAAUGAAAACAUGAAUUAAUAAUCGAAUGAAGAAAAUAAACAAAAUAUAAAGAAUAAAAGGCACAUAAUAUAUACAUUGAAAUUAAAAGCCAUACACAUAAUUUACAUAUGUAACUUUGGAUUAAAAUUUAUAAAAGCAGAAUAUAUAAUACAUUUGUGAAAAUAAAAUAUAAAUUAUAAAGUAAGUGUUAAAAAAUACAUAUAUUUGAGCAUUUAAAAAAAUAAAUAUAUUCAUAUAUAUAUACAAGUAUAUAAAAAACUGGUUAAAAAUAUUAAUAUGUAUACAUACAUAUAUACACAAAGAUAAAUAUAACAUAUAUAGAUUAUAAAAAAAUAAUUAUAUAUAAAUAAAAUAAAAUAAAAUAAAAUAAAAUAAAAAUAAUUACCUCAUAUUAAAAAAAAUAAAUAUGCGAAAAAUAUUAAAUUUUUUUUAAAAAUAUAAAUACGCACAUAGAAACAAGUAUAUAUAUAUAGCUAAAAUAAUAAUAAUUACAUAUGAAAAUAAUAAUAAUUACAUUAACAAAAUUAACUAAUUUUAAGAAAAAUAUAAAAAGGAUUAAAUUGAACUACAAGUAAACAAAUUUGGGGUAAAUCUACAAAUAAAUAAAAUUUAGAGGACUAAAUUGAAUGAGCGAAUUACAUAGAGGGGCUGGAAGGGAAAUUUUCCCUUAUCCUCUAAAACGGUGUCGUUCAAAAGGAUUAAAUUGGAAUUUAAAAUAAAUAAAAGGGUAAAUUAAAAAAAUAAAGAAAACUUAAUUACAAAAACAUUAAAAGACAGAGGGGCUAAAUAAAAAAUAAAUAAAAUUCGCAAUGGUAUCACAUUCUCCCUUUUUUAAAAUCAUGAAUAAAAAAAAUAAUCGAAAGAAAAAAAUAGUAAGCCACAUUUAAAAAAAACUGCCAAUCGUUCUUUUUUAUUCCUCCUCUUUCCUCCCCCUUUUUUUUUUUUACAAUGAAGGGAGAGGCCUCUAUUUAUAGUUGAGCCUCCCCAAAUCCAACGGUACAGAUCAAUUACAUUAACGACUGAGAUUAAAGGGUAUCUACAAAUUAAAUCUCUAAGAUUACAAAAUCAUAUAUUCUAAGAUUGCAUAUCAUAUCUAAGAUUAUAUAUCAUAUCUAAUAUUGCAUAUCAUAUCUAAGAUUGCAUAUAUCAUAUCUAAGAUUGCAUAUCCUCAAAAAUUAUGUUUCCAUAUGUGAGCCCGGGCUAAAAUUGAGUAUUACAAUGUUCAAUUAGGUCUGUAUUGUUGAUAAAGUUGUUUAAGUACUUUAUUUUUGCAGAUCAGCUAUCUACAUGGUCAUUGUCUUUGCUACAUCAGCAUCUACAUGGCAACAUAUGAAAAUUCAUGCUAAGUUGGCAUUUAUUUGGCUUAUAGCCUAGCUUAUAUGGCAUGCAGAUGCCACAACAGUAUCUUUAAAUCCCUUAUUUAGCCACAUAUGUUGCCUUUGUAAAUGCUGAUAUGGCAAGGUAAAUGGUGUCAUAGAUGCUGAUAUGGCUAAGAUAACAGAUUUUUAUUGGUUUCCAUCCUGGUCAGGGUUCUAUUAAACAAAAAUAGUCCUUAAAGGGUUGAGUUUGGUAUGGUAGAAAUACAAAUGUAGGGGUUUAUCUAAGAAAUUUAAGAAGGUACAAAGACCUUUUUCUUCUAAAAAGAAAAAUAGCCUAUUAUUACUUUAUUAGCAUGGAAUGGUUUUAGGUGUUUUUGUACUUCAAUUCGAUUUGCUUGUUACAAACAGGCAAGACAACUGGAAGCAAGCAUUGAAUUGACAGGGAAAGCCGUGGAGGACCCAACAGAAGUAGAAGUUGAGCUGAAGCGAAGGCUUGGACAGCUGACUGAUCAUUUAAUUCAGAAACAAGCUCAGGUCUGUCCUUCAAAUUUUGUGCUUGUGAAUGAUUCUGCUUAAUAAGUGUAACAUUGAUGUUUUUCCUGUCUAGUAGUCAUUAGGUGCUUAAAGUGCAAGGACAGAGUGAACCUUAGCAACCUAAUAAGUAAUAUAUCUGUUUGUGUGUCUGUAUAUAAAUUAUAUCGUACAUAAAAUGUUUUCAGCUUUAAGGCGAAGGUGGGAAUUACUAUUUUAUUUUGCUUUACUUUAGCUUAAAUUUGUUGACUUUAUAGCAUGCAGGAUGACAAACAUUAGCAGAGAAACAAUUAAUUUUGGCUCCAAAAAUUAAUUGGUCACUUGCCAAAAUCUGUGGAAUGAUUAACCCAAGCAUCUUUCUGCAAUAACUCAAUUCUGCAACACCGAUGCCAAAUGGUGAAAUGCAUGCAUUUAUUGAAUAACAUGAAAAAACAAAUUGAUAUUGAAGAGUUACUUCAUUUGUUAAGCUCCUCACUAGAUUAAAUAGCAAUCUUUCUUUUAGACUCAUUCGUCCACUCUGUUUUUCUUCUGCAGGUUGAGGCACUAUCCUCGGAAAAGUCGACAUUGUCAUUUAGAAUUGAGGUACCUAGUUUAUGAAUUAAUUAGCAUUACUGUUUUUCAGAACUGAUCCACUGAUCUUGUAAUUUGUACUUGUGAACUUCUUUAGGCAGUUUCAAGGAUGCUGGAAGAGGGCAAGUCCACGAAUAUGAAUAAUGCCACAUCAAGUGAUUUGGAAUUAGGAACAUGGGGUCUCUCAAGUUCAAAGUUGAAUCCUGUUCAAGACAAAAUUCGUUCUGGAAAACUGCAACUUGGAUCAAUGAUUAAGCAGUUGGAUGCUAUAUUUUUGGCAGGUGCAAUAUUCUUAAGAAGAAAUGCAACAGCAAAAGUUUGGUCUUUGGUAUACCUCAUUUGCCUUCACUUUUGGGUCAUAUAUAUUCUAAUGUCACAUUCCCGACCAUCAGAUGAGAAAAGAUCUGGUGCUGUUAUGUCCCUUGGUAAAUAUCAAUAGAAGUGUAGGUGUGUAUUUUGUAAUUUCUGUAUUUCUUGACACAACUUUCAAGAGAUCUAUGUGCAGGAUGUAAUAAUUUUUUAAUUUGUGCAGUUUUUGGCAACAUUAAAACUACACAAGAACCACAGUUGAGUAAAGACGAUUACUAGCAAUCAAUUAACCAAGUCAAAUACUUGCAUGGGAAUGAAUUUUUCAUUGCCUGAAUCAAGUAGUCAACUGAGCCACAUGUAGAGUGUCAAAGAUAUUAACUUUUCAGUCGAUAUUAAUCUCGGGAUUAAUAUAUUAGUAGAAAAAAAAAUUGUUCAAUUUUAACAACAUUUGUAUUUAUGUAGAUCAAGUGUCUGAACCAAAUCUUUCUCCUUUAUUCCCGACAAAUGGAUUGAGUGCCCUAUCAUCGAGUCCUGGGUCGUCUUCAUCUUAAUCUAAAAAAAUAUUUUGAUUAUUUGAAUACGAAUUUAAAUUAAUUUAAAAUUUUUUAAAUUCGAAUUAAAGAAAAGUACUCGAAAUUAAAUUAAUUUAACUGAAAGGUUAUUAUACUUUAAACUAAUAUACCUUUUUAAACAAGUUCUUAUGCUUAACUUUUUACCCAUAAAAGUUGUUUAUUUUAAUGUUAAUGUAAAAUAUUUUGAAUUUUUAAAUUAAUUUGUGAAUUUGAUGAAAUUAAUUUUUUAAAUAAAAGAAAAAUAUAUUUUUAAAAAAAAAAAUAAUAAUAUUAUAAAAUUUCUUGAAAAUGCUUAUAUGUAUAAUACACAAAAUCAUUUUUUUUUGAAAAUACUAAUUAGUUCUCCUAAAAUAUAUUUUAAUUUAUACGUACAGCAAAGUACAAUUAAAAACUAGUUAGCUCUAAAUCUAAUUACUAGUUGUUAUUAGUUGCUUUCCAGACCCACCUUAAAAAAAAAUAGUACACCCCCAUGGUUUUCUUUUGAUUAAAAUGUGUCAUAAGCCCAUAUAUUGUUUAUAAAUUUAAAAUUUAGUUUUUAUAUUUUUAUUUUUAAGAAUUUAGUUAUUCUAUGUUUUAAAUUUUAAAAUUUGGGUUCAAUUAUUAACAUUUUUAUUAUUUUUUGUUAAAAUUAUUUUUUAAUUAAAAAAUCAUAUUUGAUAGAACUAAAAAAAAUAACAUUAUAAUGAACUUAAAUUUAACAAAUUAUUUUUAACAGUGUUAAUAAUUAAAACUAAAUUUUAAAACUUGAAAAGUAAAAAAUUAAAUUCUUAAAAAUAGAAAUUUAGGGAUUAAGUUAUAAAUUCAUGAAGAGUAGAGAGAUUUUAUGUUAACCUUUUCUUUUCGUUAGAUUAUUACCAUUUAUAUUGCUUACGUUUAAUAAUUAUUUGCCAUUAAUUAGUAAAAAAAGUAAAUUACACUUAUAGUCACUCUAAAAUAGGGCUAGUUCUAUUUUGGUCACUUUAGUUUUUUAUUAUAUUUAAUCAUUUUAAAUAAGAUAAUUGUGCAAAUUAGUCACCACUGUUAAAAUGUCCGUUUUCUUUUAUCGGAAUACUGAGUGGUUUAUUAGCCCGUUGAGUGACUGACAUGUUUUAUUUUUUGUUGACUUUUAACUAAAAUUUGGGAUCUCCUUAUAAUUAGUCCAAAAUUCCCCCUAAACUUUAUAGAGAGGCCCUAAACUUUUGACUCAACAAAAAAUGAAAUACAAUAGUCGUUAAUGUGCCACAUCACUAAUCCGAUAAAAGAACAUUGACAUUUUAAUAGUGAUGACUAAUUUGCACAAUUAUCUUAUUUAGAAAGACUAAAUUGAAAAAAAAACCUAUUUUAGAGUCACAGGGUAUAGUUUACCAAACAAAAAAAAAUCAUAUUUGAUUUUAUGGUUCGCAAAUCGCAGUAGAUCUCACUUUGUAGUUUAUCCCCUUCUGUCUCUUUCUUUCCCUGCUUCUUGUGAAACAGAAAAACACAAAAAAUGUAAGUUCCUUUUGUUUUUUAUUUUCAAUUUUUUGCUUUUCUUUUUGUUUCAAAUCUCAUUUUCCAUUCAAUUAAUUACAAUUUCCUUCGAUUCAAUUCCUUUAAAUGAAUCGUACUGGAUUCAGUUCCAUUCUAAUUCGAUCUGUUUCUCCUACUGAUUUACAUUUUUUGCGUUGUUUAAUUUUCCUUUCUGUUUAAUUUUGUUUUUCUACUUUUGAUCGAUUUUUAAUAUGAGAAGUUUUUAUUUCUUGUUUCUUAAUUAUAUUUGCAAAGGACGUUACUUUCGGUACUUAGUUUCUCUCUGGACAAGGGAAUUAAAUAUAAAAGGAACUCUAGUUUUCAAUUCUAAUUGGUUUGAACCAUUUCUGAUAACUGAGGUUUCAUGAUCUAUAGUUUAUCUCAUUAGUUUAGUCAAGUCCGCUUUAUAUGGAAGCACUGGUUUGAUUUUUGUGAAUUUAGAAUGACGUGAUUACUGCAUAUUGAUAAAUAAUAGACUCCAGAUUCUGAUUAGGAUUAACAGUGUAUUUGGAAUAACUAAAGAUUAAAGGAAGCCAUUUUAUUGAAUGGAUUUCAAGUGUAGCAAACUAUGUAAUUGAGAUGAAUUUGAAAAUUAGUGGAAUCCGUUUCUUCUACAUAAAUAGGGAACCUUUUUUUUUCUUAAGCAACGCUUCCAUUCGUAAUUUUCUUCUACAUGAAGAUUAGUGGAAUCCAUUUACUUUUAAGGUGCGGCUUGAUUUGCUACUUGUACUACUUAAUCUUCAGGUUGUGAAUUCUCUGUCGUGCUCCUUUAUUUUUGUCAUUCGUGAUUUAUUUUAUGAUAAUCAACCCCCCCCCCAAAAAAAAGGAAGACAAGCGUGUUUAGAUUCAAAUGGAAACAUUAUUUUUGAAGAUUUUGAAAUGACAAUGUAUCUUUAGGAGAAUAAAAUGCUUUUUUACUUGUAUCGUAUAAAGAACCUUAUUCUAUAGCUGCUGUUAUAUUUAGACAUUUAAUAGUUUUUAAUCAAUUGCAACUUUGCUUUCUACUGAUUCAUUUGCUGUUAUACUCAAAGAAAUAGUAAAAAGCCAAGUAUAAAAAUCAAUAAUCCAACAAAUCCCCACUGUUUAACUACUUUUCAAGCUUAUGGAAUUUGCUAGAGUGGUUUAGAGAAUGAAGCUUGAUACGUUUAACAAAAUUUCAAGCUUGAAGCUUCUAUAUUUUUUUUCUGAAGCAGUUGAGAAUGAAAUUACAAUUACUUUUUUAAUUAUUUUCUUUACUUUUUGCAUUUCCUGCCCAGAAAUGAAUUUUCUGUCUCAUUGUGGCUUUCUUUCUUGACAGAACUACAAAAUGGGUAUGGCAGAAAACACUAACGGAAUGGAGGAGGGAACACUGGAGAUUGGCAUGGGUAAACUACUUGCUUUAAACUAGUUGCAUGAUCAUCGUAAGAAACUUUGUUUGCUUUUCUUUGAGUGGUUUAUGUUUUAACUAUGUAUUGAGUGCUCUGUCUAAUCUUGAGAACUGCCAUAUGCAUUGUGACAAGCAGGAUUUAUUGCAUGAAAGAAACUGGUAAAGUUAAAAGAAUAAUUAUAUUACUUUUCUUGAGUUGAUUACAGAAUAUAGAACUGUUUCUGGAGUUGCUGGGCCUUUAGUAAUCCUUGAUAAAGUGAAGGCAAGUUCUGUUUUCCUCACUCAUUAUCUGGUAUCAUUCUCAAGCUUGUUUAGGUUUGAUUUCAACUUCUUAUUGUUUGACGUUUCAUGCUUUUUCUAGGGACCCAAAUAUCAAGAAAUUGUUAAUAUUCGAUUAGGGGAUGGGACAACCAGACGUGGUCAAGUCCUUGAAGUUGAUGGAGAAAAAGCUGUUGUUCAGGUAUUUUCUGUCUAAAAUUCUCUACCUUUCCUUUGUAACUAUGAAUUCCUAUUAUAUGCACCUUUAUAUCAUGCCAAAAGGAAUAAUGUCUGGUGCUGCAACUUCACUAAUAGCAUAUUCUUUUAUCCUUCAUAGCUCUAAUUAUAUGUCACCUUGGCUAGGUUUUUGAAGGAACAUCCGGAAUUGACAACAAAUAUACAACUGUGCAAUUUACAGGCGAGGUAUGUGACGGCCUAAUUUUCUCUUUUAUGUUCAAUCCUAUUCUUGCAUCUCCUAAUUUGAUUUGAAAAUAGCUUACCUUCCAACACACCUGGAAAAUAAUAGAAGUAGCUGCUUCUUUCUGUUGGGAAAUUUUUAAUUAAGAUGGUCGGUUGGCAUCAUUUGUCUGAUUGUAUGCAUUUAGACAUUAAAAGGGCAUGCUUACACGUUGUUUCUUGAAUCUUGACAUAUCUGGUUCUUUAGUAGACCGAAGGGAAUUAAGUCAUGCAAUUACUAGACCUUGUAGACUUUUUCUGUUUUGUGGUGAGCUAAGGCUCUCUUUUGGCGUUACACUGGCUUUUAUAUUGCAAUAUUUUUUCUUCUAAAGGUUAUGACAUCGGCCCAUGUAUUUGUCUAGAAUAAAAUUAAUGUUUGGUGUUUAAUUCUAAUUACAGGUUUAGUAUUUAGUAUACGGUUAGAUUAGCUAUCUAAUUUCUGCUUAGAACCAUGGUUUGUAAUCCUUAAAAAGAAUGAAACACUGAGCAUGUGAUGUCCAUUGAGGAAUUAUUGAUUGUAAUUGUCACAUCCUCUGUAAACGUUAAUAAGUAGCAGGCUGUUUCUUAUUUGCUAUGUUUCUCCAACUCUUGUCAAAUAACCAUGUCUGGCUCAUAUUUAGGCAUGAGUAUGGGGAUAUCUUAGAUGUACAUUAAAAACUUAGAAAAAAAAAAAUUGAAUAUACCCAUGUCGGAAGCUUACUCCAUAACCGACACUUAUAUCCGAGUUUGACUAACAUAGCUUAUUCGGGCUUCUUGGGAAUGUUUUUGUUUUCCACUUCCAACCUUUCUAGUUAUAAGGUUAAGUUUAUGCAAUCAAGCCUUUAGACCAUUGUUUAUGUUUAUUGGUUUUUUGGACGUGAUAAUCAUUAGGAAUUGGCAGCUUAUACCAACAUUUGUUUGCUUUCUUGUUCUUAUGCCCAUAGAGAAACAAGCCCCUUGGCAUCAUGAUGUGUGUAAUUUAGUUGCCAUGGCCCUGUAGAGGUUUUACUAGUUAUUUGUUUAGUUUGUAAAUGAGGAAUAUCCCCAAAUGUAUUGAGGCAAGCACGUACAAGUAGGGGAAAAAAGAAUAAAGGAAGGAAAAGAGCAACUGCGUUUUGCAAUGUCUUUUGAACUUAUUUUAGAAUUGGUGUCUGCUACUUCCUGGUUCUUGUGAGUUGUGAAUCAAUUAUUGUGUCUAAUGUUUGGAUUAACUGGUAGGAAGCUAAGGUAGAAAAAACUUGGGAAGACUAGAAGUGCCUGUUUUGAGUGCAUUUUGAAUACUAUUUAUUUUACCCCCUUUGAAUUUUUCUGCUCUUUUGAGCUUAUUUGUCUGUAUCCCUUCUCCUGACUCUCUUUUGUAGGUGUUGAAAACUCCUGUCUCUUUGGAUAUGCUUGGGCGCAUUUUUAAUGGCUCUGGAAAGCCAAUAGAUAAUGGUCCACCUAUCUUGCCUGAGGCAUAUUUGGAUAUCUCUGGUAGGAAGCUUGUGGACCAAAUGACAAUUGAACAGUAUAAGUUGCUUGCAAUUGGUAGUUUGUUAGCUACAUUACUUAUCCUUUAAUCUUUUACUUUGUAGGGAGUUCUAUUAAUCCUAGUGAGAGAACCUAUCCUGAGGAAAUGAUACAGACGGGGAUUUCAACAAUUGAUGUCAUGAAUUCAAUUGCUAGAGGGCAAAAAAUCCCUCUCUUCUCAGCUGCUGGUCUUCCCCAUAAUGAAAUCGCUGCUCAGAUUUGUCGUCAGGCUGGUUUGGUGAAACGUUUGGAGAAGACUGGAGAUCUGCUUGAGGUAAGGUUCACGUACUAAUAUUGCUUGCCUAGUAAUAACGUGACAUACUUGAUGGUUUGAAUGAGUUAAUGUUCUAAUUGUAAAUCAACUAUGAAAUUUUAAUGAAGUUCUUUUCAAGUCUCAUUUUAAUUUUGGAAUAUGUCACAACCAGUUGCUUGUCCCUUCAGAAUGAACUCAAAAUUGAAGAUACAUACAAAAAUAAAAAGUUUCAUGUUGUGUUAGUUGCUAUCAGUUACCUCUAGUAUUUCCCAAUACUGAAAACAUGAGGCCUUUGUCCUAGACAUGGCUGUUUCUUUCUACCUUUCGAUAAAUUCACAGGAAGCUGAUUGUUUCACUCACCUGAUUUCAGGAUGGUGAAGAAGAUAAUUUUGCAAUUGUGUUUGCGGCUAUGGGUGUAAACAUGGAGACUGCACAGUUUUUCAAACGUGACUUUGAGGAAAAUGGCUCAAUGGAGAGGGUGACCCUUUUCCUAAACCUGGUAUAAUUCAAUUUGAGAUACAAAGGCCUUAUUCAUUUCAUUUUAAAAUGGGAAGAGUGGGUUGGUUAAGAGGUUGCAUCUACUUCAAAAAUCAAUUUAUAGCUGGAAAUUAGCUUCUACUUUCUUCUCUACAGGCUAAUGAUCCCACAAUUGAACGUAUUAUUACUCCUCGUAUAGCUCUCACUACUGCAGAAUACUUGGCAUAUGAAUGCGGGAAGCAUGUUCUUGUCAUCCUUACAGACAUGAGUUCUUAUGCUGAUGCUCUCCGUGAGGUAACAAAAAACAACCAUGUCUCAUUAGUGCAAUCUCUUUGGUGCACAUUACUUCUACUAGCUGUUGAUAGCAGAGAUGCAUGAAAGCAUAUAUCAUUUUUUCACUAUCUCUGAUGAUUCUGAUUGCUCAUACGUUCUAGACAUCUAAUACAUGCAUUUCAGAAAUUUAUGCAGCUCCCAAAGCUUUUAUUUGAAUGUUGAAAGUUUAUUGUCUCUAAUUAUCUUAAUUUCAUCUUGUUCUAUAGAAUGUUAUGCUAUAUGUUUGAGACAAACUACUAUUGCUAAUGCAGGUGUCUGCUGCCCGAGAAGAAGUACCUGGAAGACGUGGAUAUCCUGGGUACAUGUAUACAGAUUUGGCCACAAUAUACGAGCGUGCUGGACGAAUUGAAGGGAGAAAGGGUUCUAUCACACAGAUUCCAAUUCUUACUAUGCCAAAUGAUGGUAAUGCUUUUUGUAGCUAUGUCUACUUUUUGCACUGCCAUGCUUGCUUUAAUGGUAAUUCUGAUUCACAACUUGAUUCUAUUUAUCUCUUUUGGCAGAUAUUACACAUCCCACUCCAGAUCUUACUGGAUAUAUCACAGAGGGGCAAAUAUACAUUGACAGACAGCUCCAUAAUAGACAGGUAAUGUCAAAACUAGCCUUUACGAGCUAUCAACCUAUUUAUCUAGGAUGCGUGAAGGUUCGCAAAUUAUCACCAUGAUUUUCGUCAAUUUAUGCAUAAAUUUCGUUGUUAAUAUGGUCUUUUAUGUUGGAACUGUUUUUUCUCUAUCCUUCCAUUUCCUUGGCAAAUUUCUCAGGGUGACUUCGGUUGAAUUUGGCUCAUCAGUGUGUGAUUUGAUGGCUCUGUACCUUGUUUGCUUUACUGGUUGAUAUCAAGUCAACAGUAUUCAUCUGUUUUCAAAAUGGAUUUUGGUGUAUAUGUUUUUCUUCUUUGUAUGAAUAACAAUUAAGUUGAUUUCUGUCAAUUAAUGUUUUCUUCUUUCUGAAAUGGACAGAUAUACCCACCAAUCAAUGUGCUUCCAUCGCUGUCUCGUUUGAUGAAGGUGAGGAUAGCAUCCAUCAACAUGGAAAUUAUACAAAUCUUAACUUACUAUGAAGAGUAACCAAUUUUCUUUUCUAUGUAUAUAUUUUCUCAGAGUGCCAUUGGUGAGGGCAUGACACGCAGGGAUCAUGCUGAUGUGUCUAACCAGGUCUGAUUGCAUCGUUGUUGUGAUAUAAUUUCAAUCCUCAAUUUGAUGUUAAGGAAUCUAACCUUUGCUUUUGUUUCUCAAUCAUUUCACCUUCAGCUGUAUGCAAAUUAUGCUAUCGGUAAGGAUGUGCAGGCCAUGAAAGCUGUGGUAGGAGAAGAAGCACUUUCUUCUGAGGAUCUGGUUUGCUCUCUUUUCCAGUUUCUCAUCAAUUUUCACGCAUCACCUUUUGGUAAAGUACUUGCUUAGAAAGAACCUAAUGUGAUGUCCCUGAAUAUAACAGCUAUACUUGGAGUUCUUGGAUAAAUUUGAGAGGAAGUUUGUUACCCAAGGAGCAUAUGACACCCGCAACAUCUUUCAGUCACUCGAUCUGGCGUGGACUCUGCUUCGCAUAUUUCCUCGUGAACUUCUCCACCGUAUACCCGCGAAAACUCUUGACCAGUACUACAGUCGAGAUGCAGGUAAUUGAAGGAGGCAAAGUGAUGCCCUUAGAUUGCCUCCUGCUUGGUAGUGUUUAAAAGAAGUUUAUUUACCAUCAGCUUCAUCUGCUCGAAUAAUAAUUGUUGAAUUCCAGUUAGGUUUCCCCAUGAUAGCUCUUGGGCUAGUAAAACAAGUGAUCAAAUAUGACUUCUUUUAUCUAGAGGAAACCAGGGGGGGAUAAGAGGAGGAACUAUAAAGCCCACCUUGUGUUACUUGUUAUUCUAUAUUCCUAUUUAUUUUUUCAAUAUUUUGUAAUUCAGUAGAUUUGGAUUUCUAUAUCCAUAUCCAAACACUGACCGAGACCAGUGCAUCCCAACUGCAUUAGCUGCUUUUCUUCUCUUCAAUUUAUUUUCAGAGUUUUGCUUUGUAUUGUAUUGGUUUUUAUGUGAAGAUGAAAAUAAGGGAGACGGUGGACGACUUGUGCUGUUAUGUUGAAUAAUGUUUUUAUUUUUUAUUUUUGUCUUUUUGGGCAAUCAUAGAAACAUUGUUUCAUUUAUCAAAGACUCUAGCCCAUCGAUUGCAGUACAUAUGGAAAACAAGAGACAAAGCAGCCUAAGCAACUAUAUACAUACAAAAUGGUUGCAUCACUGUAUAACUCGACCUCCAAAGGCAGCAUAUGUUUAAUCAGAACCAUGAUUUGACAAACCAACAGCCUACCUUAUGGUUAUGCUAUGAUUUAGGCUCAACCAUCAAAUGACCAACGAUGCAUCGACAGUGGUGAGACGUUGGUCAGCCGGAAGGGUGAUCCUUCCGAAAGGAUUAUAGUAUAUAAGCAACGACUCUCAACCAAUGAUAUAAGCAAUAAGUACCAUACAACCAUGGCUUAAAAUUCACUUCAUUAUUUUAUUAUCCAUUAAUAUCCAAUAAUUACCAUUCAAAUGUGUAGGAUUCAUUUAUUAAAUGUGGUGGAAAUCAAUUUGUGGACGAUGAUUAAAUAUGCAUUGGAUAUUAUUGAAUGAAAAACUAAUGGAGUGGAGCCAAACCUCCAUACAACAUAAAACAUAGCAAGUAAUAUAUGCUCGUUCGAUCCCCAAUCUUAUCAGAGACAUUCGCGCCAGCUAUCCUAUCUGGCUCCUUUCCAUCGGAUUGCAUUAAUGCUUUCUCAGAUGCAUCAUUUUGAAUGUCUACCUCACUAGCUCCUUCCAUUUUUAAUGUGCAAAAGAUUUUCCAGUCCUGAUAUUUCGUUUCUCUCACAUUUCCUUCUCGUGCGUGAACUUCAUUUCCCACCAGCAUUUUCACUUCAUCAUCCUCGUCAUCAUCUUUGCUUUGGCUAAGGUUUGCUUGAUCACCAAACUCCUUUUUGCUGAUGGGUAAGGCAUGAAUCUAGUCACCAUAAAUCUUUUCCACCUUGAUUUUUUUGGUGGUGGACCUCCAACUUCUAAAGGCGUGACCUAACCUUCCACAUGCAUAACACAAACCUUUCAUGUUCAAAGACUACCGUAAUAAGAUCGUUGUCAGUUUUGCGAAGCUUGAAGUUGUUGGGUAGAGGGUUUUCAACUUUAAGACCCACAUUUGGUCCCAUGAGCCUUUGUUUCUUUGCUAGAUGUAGAUGUAGAAAGAUGAACCUCCUUGAUGCUUCCUCUCUUUGAGGAUCAAGUGAUCAGGUGGCUGACCCAAUUAGCUUCUUUUGUUCCCUCUCUCUUUUAAACACAAACGGUAGCAUGUUUCUAACUUCAAGGUCGCGCAUUUCGCUAGGAUCUUCAACCGCCCAUGGCCAUACCUUCGUUUAAGAUGUGCACCCACGGCCCACCAUGACCAUAGGCCCCGUUUUAUUUAUUUAUUUAUUUCACAAUCAUAUACCACUUUGCAGAUCAACGAAAUUCCCCUGAUUCGACCAUCGACUUUAACGUAUGAUUCCAACUCAAGUGUGAUCAAUGUUUCAUUUUCUAGGUCACCCAGAACUGUCUUUUUAUGGCUUCUUUGCUGUCGUUGUCCAAGGUCAUGCAAACCAACGCAAGAAAGACGAGAAAACUAAAAAACGCUUUAGAGAAAGAGAAGCCAAAUGUAGGUGACCGAAAGAGAAUUAUAAAAUAUUGUGAAAAGGGAGGGUCAUUCAAAGUAUGAGAAGGUCUUAGAAAGUUCCACUCAAGGACGAACGCUUGAUGGAAAGAAAAAUUGCUUUAUCAGGAAAGCAAUCUUUCUCCUUCUACAAAACUAUAGUACUUGAGUGUAAUAUUAAAUAAAAUUUAAUUAAAGAGAACAGAAGUGAUUUAUUCCAAUUAUGUUACAAUCCCAAACCAAAUACAAAUUUAAUCUCCCAAGCAUGCACAUCUACAUUUGAUUCAAACCUCUUUCCAUAUAUUCCCUUCUAGAUAUUCUCUUGUUUUUAGAAUUAGGAUGAGUGUGAAUAGAAAAUGAUGUUGUGUAAAAAUAAUUUCAAAAUAAAUACAAAUGUUUUCAUGCGUAAUUGCUCGCCUGCUUUUAAAAAGUUGUUAACCGAAUCAUUUAUAUUAGAAUUAUUUUUAAAAAAAUUAAUUUUUAUACACUAAUAAAAUAUUGGCACAUCUUAAAUAACUUAAAUAUGGAUAAAUGCAUAAAAAUAUUUAUGUAAAAUUUUAAACAAUUUAAAAAAGAACCAUUUAAGUUAAAUUUUUUUAAUUUUGCAAGAUUUGAUCUAAGAAACUAAAAUUAAAGUAAAAAAUAAUUAAAACAUCAAAGUAAAGAAAUAUAGUCUAUUGUAUAAACUUUUUUUGAAAGGGUCAUGGAUUUAGAUAUCAUGAAACUUCUAUUUAUUUAAUUUCACAUAAUAAAUGAUGAAUAAUUUUAUGGAGAAAAUCAAUAAGUAAUCAAUUAAAAAUUUAAAGGAAAAAAAUGAUAUAUUUCAAGUUGUUGACGUGUCAAAAGAAAAAUUAAUAAAAAAAAUUGUAACUUACCUAAAACCCACCAAUACCUUACUCUAUAUAUAUAAUAUCUAUUUUAUUUUUUAAACUCUUGACUUGGUUAGGGAAAUUACAAAAAAAAAAUUAAAAUACAUUAUAAUAUUUAAGGGUAUUUUAGUCUAUUUAUUUUAAUAAAAAAUCAACAAAAAUAUACAUAUGAUGAGAUUUGAAUCCACGUCAAUUAGAUUAGUUAAACAUUUAAUUUACCAGUCAACCAAAGCUUCAUUUGAUAUAUUUUACACAUUUUUAUUUUAAUAUACAUAAUUUAUUAUCUCCAUUAGUUGUAUAUAUUAUUUAAAUUGUUUAUUGAGUUGAUAUCACGAGUUAACUCGACGCUAACUCACAACUGAUGACAAAACCAUAAUAGAUAAUUGUAGUGCAUUUAUUAUUGUUUAUCCGUUGUAUUUAUGUGUUUAAAUUUUGUUUUACUUAUAAUUUAAUCUAUUUUUUAUUCUAAUAUCGUACAUAUUUGAUGUGUUUUUAUGAUUAAUUAGUUUCAAACCACAUGUUUCAUUGUUUAUUGUAUGUUAUUUUUAAACACACAUUUUUGUUUUAAAUCUGUGAUUUUCACACUCAUAUGUGUGUGAUAGCAUUUCUAGUAUAUAUAUUAUUUUAUUAGUGUCUAAAAACUAAGGUUUUUAGAUUUUUUUUUUGGAUAUUCUUCAUGUUUAUUUUAUAGUCCAUGUUCAAGGCUUGUUGUUAUCCCUCCCAACAAUGUAUCUUACCACUGCAUCCAACACUUGUUAAUACUUUCAGAUAAUUCUAAGAAAAACUAUUACAAACAAUAAAAAGAAGAAUAUUAGAGAUGCGUAUCAAAGAAUUGUGAGGCGUAAGUGGAAAGUAAUCUUUUAAGCAAGCACCUAAAGAACCUGAAUCCUGCUGCUGAUACUUUAGCUAAUCUAAUGAAAGAUUCACCCCUUGGCAUGAGUUUUUUUCAUGGGGUUCCUCCUAUGGUUGAUGAUCAACUACGGAUUGGUAGAUGUUUUCGGUUAUCCAACCCAAAUCCUACUAUUAGUUUACAAUUGAUGCUGUUUUUUUCUUGUUUAAAAAAAUAUAUUUAUUUUUAACCUUUCAUAGUUGAAUUUAAACCUUUUUAGUCCCUUAACUAAAAGGGAAAAAAAAGUAUUCCGAACUUUUAAAAAAAAAAUCAAUUUAAACUAUUUUCACACACAAUAUUUAACUUUAGUCCCUUAAAUUGUUUAAUUUCUAUUUCGAUCCCUUAGAUCUUAACACAAAAUUUCUGGCUGCAUUCCAUGUAUGGAACAGUUGUCAAUUUUUUUACGUUUGCGUUGAGUGGGAAAGAAGGAAAGAGGCAAAAGAAAAGGGGGAAAAAUGUAGAAAAAGAGAGGAAAAGAAAGCAAAGACAAAUUUGAAAAAAUUAUAUUGUACGUUGAUUUUCAUAUUUUUUCCACGUAUUUUAAUUUUAAAGUAAUAUGGAUUUACUCAUAUUUUCUAUUAAAACUAUAUUUAAAAAGUUUGACACGUGGGUUGAUUUCAAAAUAAAGUUAUUGAAAUAAUAAAUUUUAAUUUUAAAUAAUUUAUACUAUUAUUUAAACCACUAAUUAAAUUGAUACUAUGAGUAAAUCGAUUACCAACUCGAUUAGAAAAAGAUAAAUUAAAUUAUUUGAUAUUAUUUUAAUUUUUUAUUUUAUUUGUAAAAAUUAAUAUAUAAUUGGAUUUGUAUUACCUCUAUCAAGUAUAUAUCUAUAAUUACUAUUGUUUAAAUCUCUAACUGAGUUGGUGAGAUGAAUUUUUGUAACAAAAAAAAAAUUGACCAUUAAAUACAUUGAAUCAAAAAAUUAAAAUGUAUACAUAUACAAAGAAAAUUUUAAUUUAUUUUAUAAACUUACCAAAUAUUAAAAAUUUAUUAAAUUUAUAUUAUGGUAUACAAUAAUUUUAUUAUUAAUUAAAAUAAAUAAUAUCAAAUCAUAUUUUGUAUUUAUUUAUAUUAUUUGUUUAAUUAAUUAGUAUUAACCUUAUAAUGAUAACAUAUACGUAACUAUUAGAUUGUACUAAAAAAAUAAAUUUAUGAGUAUAUAAUAAAAGUUAUUAUGAUUUUAUUUUUAAAUAAAAUGGUUAAAAUAAAGGGUCAAGAUGAUAAAAGAAUUUUGUUAAAUGGGAGUGUUUUUUCACUAGAGCUUAAGUUUUAUAUUUUAAUUUUAUAUUUUUCAAAAUUUAAAAUAACAAAAUAACAUAGUGUUAUAUUAAAAUUAUAUUAAGACAGUAUGUUUGUUAUAUUAGAUUUUAAAAAUAGAAACUUUUAAUUUAAUGACGUUGGUUAGAAUUGAAAUUCUAAAAUUCUACAAAUAUAUUGACUAAAAAUAAUCAAAUUAAAAUACAGAAAUUAAACCUAUAACUUACAUAUAGCACAAAAGUAAUAGUAGAUUUUAAUCAAAUAUUAUAUUUAAAAUUUUCCUUUUAGAUUGAAUCUUAGCUCGAUUGGUAUGAACAUAAUAGCCAAUAUAAGAGGAUGUGAGUUCGAGUAUUCUAAAACGUAUUAUUUUUUUAUUUAUGGAUUGAAAAUGAACUACGAAUAAUUUUAAACAUGCCGAAAAAAAAAAAGUACAUAUAAUCAAUCAAGGACGAUGGCAGAGGCUAGCGGAUGUCUGGUGAGAGAGUUGUGCACUUAAACCGGAGGAUUUGUAGGGCUUUUUGAAACUUUGAAGAAUCUCGGUGGGUUGUGAGAAUGGAAGAUUCGAAUAGUUAAGGAUUUUAGAUUGAUGGUUACUAGUUCUCACACUUUUCAUCAUCUGAUGCAGAAAGGAGAGAAGAAAUUUCAGAAAAAGCUAAACUGCUAUUAGGACUGUUUUUUUGCUUUGCGUGUUUAGGACGUUUUAGUUUCCCAUUUCUUAAUGUAUGUUUUCUUAGGAAUGUUGUUUAUUGCUUUAGGAGCCCCAAGCACCGCCCAUCCGGGUUGCUGGUAGUUUGACAGCUGGACGCGAUGCAAGGUUUAAGGCUUUGUUUAGUCUUUUCAAAUUUAUUAAAUGCAUUGGGUAAUUUGAUAAAAAAUUCCUUUUAAUCUGAUUGAAUAUUAAUUGGAUUGGCAUAAAUAUGGUAGCCAAUAAGAUAAUAUGAGUUUAAGUGUACUGAAACAUACUCAUAUCAAUAGAUAAAGAAGAAAUUAUGAAUAAUUUUAAAUAUAUUUUUUUUUAAACAAAUUUAAUCCAAACUUAUAAUCAACAUCGCCAAUUUUUUUUAAUGGAAAAUUAUGUUAUAAAAAAAUUUAAAAUUCCAUAAACGGUUAUAUAUAGUAAAGAAAAAGUUUAAUAUAUAAAUAAAUCACACAUUUGUUACAUUUUCAAUUGCAGAGUACUCCAAACAUAUUUUAUUCAAAAAAAUUAUACUUUGAAAUUUUACAAGCUUAAAUUAGGAAUAUUUUAAUAUCAAAAAUUUCCAUUGAAAAUUUGGGAAAUAUAAAAAAAAUAUACAAAGUAGAAAUUUGUUGCAUAAAUUGGUUGCUUUCUGGGCUACAAAAGGAAAAAGAAAAGCAGGGAGGUUUUUUUCACAGCUGGGAGGGAACGCACGUUGCAGUCACUGCCUGCAAGAACUUUUUAAUGGCCUAUGCAUGCCACCUACGUCACACUAAUCUAACCCCACCCUUCUCACCCCUUUCACACCUCUUUAUAUACUCUCCCUUGUCUCUUCCACACUGCACCCCACCCCCACUCCUCUUUCUCCCAUGGCUGCCUCCGUUGAUCCUCUCGUUGUUGGUCGUGUCAUUGGCGAUGUUGUCGACAUGUUCGUUCCCACCGUCACCAUGUCCGUCUACUAUGGUUCCAAGCACGUCUCUAACGGAUGUGACAUUAAGCCUUCUAUGGCUAUCAACCCUCCCAAAGUUGCCAUCGAUGGCCUUCCUGACCAGUUUUAUACUUUGGUUCGUUUUUUUUUUUUUACCAAUUGGGAAUUGGGUUAUCUUUCUGCACUGUUUUUAGUGUAAUUUGUUUGAGAGAGAGGGAGGGUAUGAUUGUUUAAUGCUUGUCGAUAUGUCUCUGAGUGAGGCUGACAAUUAAUGAUGCAUGCUGGUGAUGAUUUAAACCAGGUGAUGACUGACCCUGAUGCGCCAAGUCCCAGCGAGCCAACCAUGCGUGAAUGGGUUCACUGGUACGUUGUUUCCCGCCCCCCCUUGUUUUUGAGAAAAUAUUUUGUAAUCAUGUUGCUGAUCAUUUCGUAAACCAUCACGCAAUUUGCUUUCGUCGCUGUUUCAGGAUCGUGUCUGACAUUCCUGGAGGAACCAACCCCACUCGAGGUAUAAACAACUCUCUAUGUAUUUAUAUUGUCUUAUUAUACCCUCUUCAGAAUAUUGCCAUAUUUUUAACUUUAUUAUUUCGAUUGAUUCUGCUGUAAAGAAGAGAAAUUGUAGCAGAAUUAUUUAUGAUGAUAUUUACUGUGAUUUUCUUUUCAUUCUCUUUUAUCUCAGCCAAGAUUAAACCAAUUCUUGCAUGCAUGCAUGCAUCCCGAGGGAAAAUUUUCCGAGACAAUUAUAAUCUGGUUUUCUUAUUAAAUCAAGUGGGUUAUAUCUAUUUUUAGUAAAUUAUGAGUACAAAAUUAAACAACAAAGUUGUUUGAAAAAUCAUCUCAUACUAGGUUAAAUGACACAAGAAAAGAAGUAAAUUACUACUUUCCGUGUGUAUGUGUUUACUAGAAUAAUUAAUAAAAAGAAAAAAAUGGGUGUUGAAAAUACAUCUAGCAUAAAGCUUAGAUAAACAAUUUGCAAUUUGCAGCAGUAGAAUUUGAGUUGAAUUCAUUGUUAAAUCUGUCAAAGAUCCAAUACAACCCUAACAAAUGUUGUCCGCCACCAAAAUUCCUUUUACUAUGUAAUCUAUAUAUCACUGACACUCACUGCAAUCUGCAUCUGCAUCUGCAUGUAAUUAAUAUAAUUAAUUAAAUAUCUUAUUUUGGCUCUUUCUGCAACCCAAUAUUUUCCUAUUUGUAUUUGGGAUUGCAAUUGCAUGCAUCACAUAUCUGACACAUGGUUAGUUGUUUCAACAACAAGUAGCAGCCCAUCCAUGCUUUGGAUUCUCUUGUAUAUAUGCCACAUGCCAUGUAACUACACUGUCCUCGUGGCUUCCAUCGGGACACAAUAUUGACCCACCUUAUAUAAUAUACUCUUAGUUGAGAUGGGAUAUAUAAGAUAUUUAUAGUCUUAAUAACUCUUAUCAAUAAAAUAGGAAGAUUUAAUACGGACAUGCUGUAAAUUGAACAUAUAGUUUGCCCAACUCUAAUUUGCAUCAUGUGUCAGGCUUGUGAUGUUUAAUCCUAAAUUAUAAUGAUAUAAGGUAGGGGGUUUAAGCACAUUAGUUUAAUAUCAGUGGGGGAUUAUUCAAUUUCAGGGAAGGAAAUCCUGGCAUACAUGGGUCCACGGCCUCCAGUAGGCAUACAUCGCUACAUACUGGUGCUGUUCCAACAAAAGGGCCCGUUGGGUGCGGUGCAGCAACCGGCGACAAGAGCUAACUUCAGCACUCGAUUUUUCGCUGACCACCUCAACUUGGGACUGCCUGUGGCUACUGUCUAUUUCAACGCCCAAAAAGAGCCCGUCAGCCGAAGGCGUUGAAUCUCCCACACACACUUCUCUCUCUCUCUCUAUAUAUAAAAUAUAUAAAUAUAAAACUGGUUCGACUCUUUAGCUUUAUAAAGUAGCUUUGGCCAAGUGUAGUCCUAGUACGUAGUACGUUUGAGAAGUGUAUGUCUCUUCGUUGGGUUUAUAUUUGAUGCUAAGUUAUCGAACUUUUAUGCCGAUUAACUGAGCUUCCUUAUUCUAAUUUGAGUUAAUCAAGUCCUUAAAUUAUACUCUCUUUUUUAUUUGUCAACGUUUAAUCUAUAAUAUAUAAUAUAUUUGGUGCAUUUGUUGUACAAGAUGAUGAAGAUGAUAGGAUAAUUAACAUUCUUUAAUCAUGUUUCUGUCGCACGUAAAAAGGGAUAGAUAUCUUUUUAGGAUUUAUAUUUAAUACUCUCACCAUUUAUUCAUUAUACAUUUAUCAACAGAUUCCCGGAUUAGAUGAUGGUACAAAAAUUCAUGUAAUUAGAUCACCGACUAAAUGAUGACACAAAAGUUUUUAAAAAUAAGUAAUAGUGAUUUUAUUUUACUUUUAAUAACAACAAAAUUAUAUUAAUUUAUUAAUAAUAGAUUAUAGAUAAAAAGAGAUAAAAGUAUCAAGAAAAUUUUUGCAUUUAGAGACAGAUUGUAUUUCGGCGGCUCAUUUAUCUAUAUAUAUUUCGAAAUGUGUAAAUUAAUUUUUCCAUCCUGUUAAAUGAUUAUGUGGAGCAUUAAUUUAAAUGGUUAAAUAAAAAAUUCCUAAAAAUUCAAAAUAUAUAUAUGUAAAAGAAUUUAAAAAAUUUACAAAAGUCAUUCUUUUACAAACUUUCAAGUCCAAAUUAAACCCAAAAAUGGUCAUUCUUUUAAAAAAUCCAAAAAAAUAAUUCACAUACUUGAUUGAAGCCAAAAAUAAAUAAAUAAAUAAAAAUUUGAUUGAGGCAAAAAAAAAAUCACUAAAAGUUAUGAUUCAUCGCUUUCAAAUUUCUCAUGUUUAUGUUUUUAUUAAUGUUUAAUUUAACCUUCAUUGUGCAUACUUCCAAUUAAAAGGUAGAUGAAAAAAUAUUUAUUAAUGUUUACUUUCUUUUUACUUUAGUGAAUUCUCAUUUUUGCAUAUAAUUUAUUUUCGUAUCUUCUAAUGGCGUGUAAUCAGUAUUAUAAAAUUUCGAUUAUUUAUUUUUGCAUCCCCUUAAUUAAUAUAAACUUUCAUAUUUGAAGAUUUUAUUGUUAAAUACCCUAAAAAGCUUCAAUCUUUUUAAGUGUUUGAAUGUUACAAAAAAAAUUUUAAUUUAUUAUUUCUUAUUUGGAUCUGUUAUGAUCUUAUUCGAAUCUGUUAUCAAAUCCGUAAAAGAUAUUACAUUACCAAAGAAAAAGGAAAAUCGAGCUCAUACCUAACAAUAAGAAAUGACAUGGGCUUGGUGAUGGCUACAUGUGUACAACAAGAUUGGAAUAUGGGUAAUUCCUUUACGACAGAAGCACUAGCUUGUAAUCGGGCGCUUCAUUUGACCACUAACUUGGGGUUUCCAAAGCAUAAAAUUAAAAGGAGAUUUCUUAAGCAUGCAAUCAAGAAACUCAAAACUAGUACAUUUGACAGAUUAACAAGCGAGCCUCUGGUGGAAGAUGGUAAAGCUCUACUUCGAAGGUUUUACCAUUACUGACUCUCUCAUGUCUUUAGAUAAAGUAAUAUGGUGGCUCGCAAACUAGCGAAAGAGGGAUCGAUGCAGGACUAUGGCCAACAUUGAUGGAAAAAGGAACUCAAAUAGUUGCAUCCAUAGUUCUCAGCAAGUAAGUAACCCCGGAACCCAAGGAAAAGAGUGAAGUUGAUAAUGCAUGGAUGGAUUAAAUUUAUUAAAUUAAUACGGGAACAAAAUUUUCUAGACGUGAUUAAAGUGAUAAUAAUGAGUUUUAGAUUUUAGUUAGCUUUUAAAUUUUAAAUUUUGUUGAGUUCAAUUUUAAGACUUAAAUUUGAUUAUAUAUAAGCCCAAUAAUGUAUUUAUUAAGUUUCUAUUUUAGAGAUUUAUUUAUUUCAAAUUUUUAAAUAUUUCAGACUAAUUUAGCUUUAAGGAAGGUUAGUUCUAUACAUAUGGUAUUUGUUCUCUAUAGCUACCAUAUAUGUUUUUGCUCGACUUUUUUUUAAUAACAUACUCCAAGGGAUAUUUUCAUACAAACUAAUUUCUUUUUCUUUUUUUUUUCUUGAUAGAACUUUUGUUCUAAAUUCUUUAAGAUUGUAGAGGAGAUUCAUCAUAAUUCUAACUUGCGUAAUUCAAGUCAAUUGGGUGGGUUGAUUAAAGACUAAUAUAUGGUUCUUUCUUUGUUUGUGUAAGUUCAAUAAAGUAGGCUAGGUUAUUUAUCCAACUAUUUGUCAUCAACUAGUGGCAAAGUCAGGGGUUGGUAAAGACCUCGUCCCCCCUAAAAUGGAAAUUUUUUUAUUUAGGCCCUUUUAUAAUUUAUAAAAUUUUAAAUUAGUAAUAGUAAAUUGCACUUUGGCCCCUCAAAAAUGAUAAAAAUCGAUCCAAUCCUUAAAGAUAUAUAGACUAUUGAAAUGGCAAAAAUACAUUUUUACUAUCGUAAAAAUAUACAAUUUAAUUCUGACUCCCUCAUAAAAAAAAUUUCCUGACUUUGCCCCUGUCAUCAACACUAUUUAUCUUCUUUCUUCUUUUCAUCAAUCAUUCAAUCAUCUUUUGUUUCUUUUCAUUGGUUCUUUAAUUAUUUAUUUUCUAUUGAUUUAUUAUCUGAUUUUUGUUGGAAAUUUUCAUAUUUGAAUCCAAUAACUUUGGUUUAUAAGCUACUCUUGCAAAAAGCUACUUAGGUUGUAAUAAAAAGUUAUAAACUUCGAGUUGAUUGUUCUGGCUCUUAAAGUUUAAUCCCGAGCUUCUGCAUCAUUUGGUGUUAGAGUCUACGUUUGGUUGUUUAAUCUCAUCCUUGACUCGACAUCAGCUCUCACUUAAACCAAAAAUCGUCAAGAUUUUCUUUUUAUCUUAUUUAUUUAAUUUUUCGAAUUUUGUUUUAAUUUUUUUCAAAUCUUUUAAAUAUUUAUUAUAAUUAUUUAGUAACUGGAUUGAGCAAAAUAAAAAAUAAAAAAUCAUUUAAGUAUGUUACUCACCUCUUCCUAAAUUAUCAUUUCAUUGUUCGAAUUUGUCAAAAGUGAUCGAAAAAUUUGCAUGAGAAGUCGACAACCCUCUCUUUCAUUCUCCAUGAAAAGAUAAAACUCAUUGUUUCUUUUGCUUUUGAAUCAAAAUGGUUGAGAGAAUUUUGCUUGCAUGGAGGGAUUUCCAUCUUUGUUUUUGUUUGCAUGAGAGAUUUGGGUGUUAAAAAUUGAAAGAUUCUUAAAACAAUUGUUUUGGGUGUGGGUUUUGAUUCGAAAAAAGAAAAAAAGAAAAGGAGAGUAGUUUUGAAAACCAUUUUUUGGGUUAGACUCUAGAUUUCAAAAGAGAAGAAAAAGAUGAAACCUUCAAGAAAAACUAAAAAGAUUUGUCUAAAAACUAUUUUCCAAAUUCCAAUUACCAAAAUUUCGAAAUUUUGAGUUUUUUUUGUGAGAAAUUUGAAUUUGUCGGACCGGAUUUCUAAUAAGUGAAUAACAUGAAAUUUUGUACACGUUAUAUAUAAUGUUAUUGCAUUAAAAAUUUUGAUCUUUGGUUAGAAAUUAUGUAUCCUUUAAAAAUAUUGAUAUAGCAUCAGAAAUUUUGGUAUAAGCUAUUGAUCCUCACACAUAUCCUUGAUAAAUUUUGGUAUAAAUAUGUAAUAGAAAAUAGAGUUAAAAAAAUUUGAUAUUAACUUAUUGUAACCAGUUGAUUUUGGCAAUUUCUUUUUAACGUAGAGAACCUCCACGUCCAAUAAGGUUAGAUAUAAGCCCAAUAUGGUGGUUGACACUGAUGUUUGGCGGUGGUUCAAAUUGUUCAAGUUGUUGGGCUCUAGUUGGUUUGACUAUGAAGUCACGUGCAGCAACUACUCCCAUUCAACAAAUUACUGAAUUUAAGUGACAGUAUUAUUUCAUCCAUAAAUUGCAUGAACCGGCUUUUGAACGUUCGUUUGUGACUUCAUGCACCCAUGCUCAAAACGUAGUAACCUUAUCCUCUUUAUAUAUCUGAAUAUCCACUGGUUAGCACUCUCAAUGACAAGACAAAAUAUAUACAUUUGGAAGUUUCUAAAUUUGUAUCCUCUAACUCAUGAAUGGAUAUAUAUCAAGGCUUUUCACAUCAACAUAAAUGGUCUGUUACGAGUCAAUUAAAUAUUAAUUUAAUUAAAAAUAAUUAAAAUAAUAUAGUAAGAUUUGAACUUAAAAUACCAUGAUUUUUAAACUUUUAAUGUUAUCAUUUCAAUCAAAAGUUAAAAUUACCAUCCAAUUUGUAAUGUUAUACUUGAAGUUCGAUUUUGUACAAUUUUAUACAUAAAAUUUUGAUUUAAUUCAAUUCCACAAACCACCAACACUAUUGUUGAUAUACUAGUGUUCUACAUUUACAUACCGCAUACAGAAAUAAUUAUAUUUAUCCAAAAUAAAAAUAAAUAGAUGUAUUUAUUUAAAUGUACACAUUUGAACCAUGAUCAAAGUUUCAUAUGUAUAAUUACAUAUUGGAUCAAAAUUUGUGUAUAAUUUUGAUAUUUAUUCAUUUUAUAUAAGCUUUUAAUAAAUAUACUUUUUACAUAAUUUUUUCACUUACAUUGUGAAUGUAACGACUAUUUUUUUAAGCAAUCAACUAAGACUCUAAUUUAAAAACAAUAACUUUUUUUUACUAAAAGAAAUUAUAAUUUCUAAAAAAUAAAUUGAUAAUAUGAAUAACAACAUAAAAACUAUUUCAACAUAGUAGUUCAACAAGAUAUACUCUUAUAUGGUAAGAUUCAAAAUUAUAUAUAAAUUUUCAUCUAAUAUUAUAUAAAUUUUAGUUUAAUUUAAUAUACAUUAAAUUUGAAUUUUGAUUCAAUUAUAUACGUGUGAAACCAUAAUUUUAAUUUAAUUAUACACAUUUAAAAAAUUAAAUUUGAUUGUUUUCAUUUUUGCUAAAUAAUAUUUUACCAGUGGUUGUAUAUUCUUGUUAUGGAAUAAAAAUUUAAGCAAACAGUUGAAAAAUAAUACUCGACCAAAAAAAUUAAUACAAAAUUGUACCAUUUAUAUAAAUCACUUCGUCAUUGUAUUUUCUAAAACUACUCAUAAUCACAAAUGAGAGGAUAAUGCACUUGAAAACACUUGAACCUACGUCCUCUUACAUUAACAAUAACCUCAUGCCAAUCAGACUAAAACUCAAUCAAUUAAAUAUUCAAAUUUUUAAUUUUUAAUUUCAACUUGAACAACUUUAUUAAAAAAAAACUAAAGUGUUAAGCGUACAUUUAUUUAAUUUAAAAUAUUAAUUUGUCAAAAUAUUAAAACUACAUUUAUUCUAUUAGUUUUUCUGAUACAACUCUGUUUUGAGUUUGACCUAUAAUUAGCUAAUUUAUAAACUGUGUCUUGCUUUUGGUGAGAAACCAAAUAUUUUUUCUGGAUAAAAAAUUAGAAAAAUUAAAAUCGGAAGGAUAGGAAUAUGAAAAUUAUAUAUAUUAUAUUAUAUUUAUAUUAAAAAAAAUUCAUUUCUUAUUUUGAUAAAGCUAAAAGAAUAUUUCAAUGAAGUUUUAGUGUGUUUGAUUAAGGCGGAGGCUUGUUCUGAUUUUUAAAUACUAAUUUAAGUUUGUAAUUGUGAUGUGUGGAUCUUUUUAAUUAUUUGUACAUAUGUUUGUUUAAGUUAUAUUUAUAAUAGUAAAAAUUAAAAAAAAAACCUGAAAAAUAUCAGGGAAAGAAAUGAAAAGUAUAUUAUUUAUAGGACACAAUUUUAGAGAUAUAGUCUAAAUUCGUGGCUAGACUUGCAGUGUAUCCCACUUAAGUAGACUCCAGCAAGGAUUUUUGAACUCUAACUCACAAACAUAUUCUAAACGGCUUAUAAGCAUAGUAGGUGUUAUUGUGAUAAAAAAAAUGAAAUUAAUUAAACAGUAAAAUAGUGAUGGAAAUAUCACAUUAUAGACUUAAAAUUAAUUAAGUGCCAAGUUUUAUGGGAAAGGGGAGGGGCGAUGGUAAGAUCCAGAUUGAGGUCGGGUAAACAAGUACUGCUGAUAGUCUCCGAAGCAGUUGCGGGAUUAAAGGGUUGGCAUGCAGAACUGGAGUCGUUGGAUGCAUUGGAUUUGGUUAAUGUAGGAGAUAGAAGCGAACGACGAUUGUUUGGGUCGAUUCCCAUCAUCAAAAGUUUCUUUCUUAAGUGAAUAUUCCAGUGAUUCUUCACUUCGUUGUCGGUCCUACCUGGCAAUCUUCCUGCUAUUAGUGACCACCUAAACAUUUCACGGUGUCCAUUAUUAGUAAGCCAUUUUGCAGUCUAAUUAAUCAAAAUAAUGUAGUUUGUUAACUGUGUAUGAAUUUAUCAAAUACAAAUCCUUACAAAGAAUUAACCUAAGGUUUCGAACAAGAAGAGAAAGCAAUAUACAUGUAAUAUAAAAUUAAAAAAAACCUACCUAUUUCCAAGGAGAGCAUGGAGUUUGAUAAUAAGGUCCUCUUCAUCUUCACCAAAAUUGCCUCGUUUAAGGUCAGGCCGCAGGUAGUUUACCCAUCUCAGUCGACAACUUUUUCCACAACGAAGCAGCCCUGCUCAGUCCAAAAAAGAUAAUUUUUUUCAUUAUCUGCCUUAAUAAAAAUCCUCAAGACAUAUAUAUGAGAGGAAAUGGUGUUAGAGAAAUAGACCGGCAGCCUGAGGAAGAGAGCGCCAGCAACCUUCACCAUGUUUUAGAAUGUAAUCCGUGAGCUUCUGGUCUUCUAAUUUAGACCAAGCUCCUUUGUUUGUGUCUUUCUUUUCACAACAAGGCUUCCUCAUUUGCAAACCCAAAGGCAAUGAAUUGAGGCAUGCAAAAGCCACAGACCAGAGUAGAUGUAGCGGAGGAGAAAUAAACAAAGAGACAAGUAGUAUAUAUAUAUAAACAAGGGUUUGUGUUUGUCCCCAGCUGCCAUGGCUUGACUUACGGCUACCAGCCGUUGGAUUUGUCACGCUUUCCAUGCCGUUGGAUGCACGAUUCCACGUUGAUUUCAAGGAAAAUAAGUUAAAUCCAUGAUGGUCAAAUGCUCAAGUAGCCUCUAUUGUUUAACCCCAUUCCUAGGGCUAGUUUAGCCCUACUAGCUAUUAAAAAGUUUGGUUUACUAUUUAGCAUUGUUGUGGAAAGAUGCUUUCCAUAGAAGUUUUGGGUAAGGGUUGGUAAGUUUACAUACACGUAUAGCAAAAAAUUUUAAAAAUAGAUAUUCAUAUAAUAAUAUUAAAAUAUUAUUUGUGAAAUAAUAUAUAUAUAUAAAGUAUUUGUUGAAGAAUCGAACCCACAAGAUUAAAUGUCACUUAGCAAUAAUUGAUUGAAAUUAUCUCUAAUCUCAUUAUAUAUAUAGAAGCAGAAAAAAUUUUGUUUUUUAUGUUAUUAAAUUUACAUUUUAAAAUAAAAUAGUUGAAGUAAAAUAAAAGUUGUAAUAGAUAUAUAUUUAAAAAUAAUUAUAAUUUAAUAGAAGUUGUGAUAAUUAUUACACAUUUAAAAAUAAACCAAAAUGAGAGGACUGUUGUAAUCUUAUUUUUUAAAUGCAAAAAGUCCUUUUGUUAGUUUUGUUUAAUUGGUCGUAAUCUUAUUUUUUUCACCAAAAAUAAUAUCAUAACUUAAUUGAUAUUUAUUAGCUAAAAAAUUGUUGUGUUAAUUUUAAAAUAGAUUUAUUACUUGAAUAAAACUUUAAGCAUAAAAUAUAGGGAAAAAAUUGUGAUAAUUAUAAUUUAAAUUAAAACUAUUAGUUAAAAGAAUUGAUAGUAAAAAAAAAAGUUUGUUAAUUUUAUUAACAUAAAAUACAGUUAUUACUUGAAUAGACUUCUAAGAAUUUUAAUUAUCACUUAAUUAAAAUUUUAGAAUUAAUUAUGUUAAACAAUUAUUGUUUUGAAUAUUAUUACUUUACAUUAAUUAUAUAAAGAAAACUAUAUUGUAUGUUAAUAUGUUAAAAAUAUUUUAAUUAUAAUUUGAAGAUUUUCUAUUAUAAUAUUUGAAUUGAUAAGUUAAUAUAUUUUAAUUAUAUUUCACGAUAUAAAUAUGGAAUUUUUUUACGUUGAUUACUGUAAUUAAAAAUAUAAUAUUUAAAAUUUUGAUUAAAUAUCAAACGUGUAAAAUUACAUUUAUUUUAAUAGGGUUAUUAUAAUUUAAUAGAAGUUGUGAUAAUUACACAUUUAAAAAUAGUUAGAAUUUAAAUUACAUUUAUUAGUUAAAAAUUUGUGUUAACUUUAAAAUAGAGUUAUUACUUGAAUAGAACUUUAAGCAUAAAAUAUAAAAUAAAAAAAGUUGUGAUAAUAAUAAUAAUAUUAAUAGAAGUAAUAUUAAUUAAUAUGAUAAUGGUCAUAUCUUUUAAAAGUUCUACUUAAAAAAUAAGAUAAUAUUAUAUUAUUAAUUAAUAAAAUUAUAAAUCUAUAAAAGCAUCAAAUAUAAUUGGAUAAAUUUAAAAUAAUAAAAAUCUAAUUUUUUAAUUUAUUAAGUAAAUAUAAUUUUUAUAUGUAAGGUUUUAUUUUAAAUAUUAUAAUAUUAAUAAUGUUAAAUUCAUUUUUUAUAAUUAAUAAAACAAAUGUGUGAGUUUAACAUUAUAUGAAUACAAAGAUAAAAUCAAUAUAUUAGUAAUCUAAUCAAUAUUGUAUAAAUUUAUUUAUUUAUAAAUAAUAUUUUCAUUGUCAAUCUAAUAGUUAAUAUCAUUUAAUUUGCCUUUAGAUUCAUAUUGAAUCAUACUUAUAUUAUUUUAGAUUAAUUAUCACUUAAUUAGUGUUAUAAUUACUAGUAUUUGAUUUUAAUAAUAUUUACAUACUUUUAUCAUAUAUUAGACCAAUUCACAUUUAAUUAGAAAAUAUUUUUUUUUAAUUUUAAAAACAUAUUAUUUGAUAAAAUUUAAAAAUAAACACGUAAAAUCACGUGCAACGCGCUUGGCAUGAAAACUAGUAUAUAUAAAAGCACGAGUUUAGAAAAAUUUUUGAACUAAUGAGUAUACCUUUUAUUUUUCAUCAUAUUACUAAAUUCACAUUUAAUAAUAAUAAUGUUUAAUUUAGAAUUGUUAGUUAAAGUUGAAAUAAAAUAGAAGUUGUGAUAAUUAUUCAUUUUAAAAUAAUUGUAAGUUAAUAGAAAUUAUGAUAAUUACUGUAACACCUCUAACAUCUAACCGUCGCCGAAAUCGGGUUACAAGGCAUUACCAGAUAACUCGGAUAAUAUACAAUAAUUCUUAAAUAAAUAACAAACAUAUGUAAUCAAUAAAUUCAUAUAAAUUCUUACUAAUUGACUUCAUUUUUUCUUUUUUCUAUUUUUUAGAAAAAUUUGAACAUAACCCCUUUAUAACUAUUGAACCUUCCCUGCAAAUUUCAAAUUUCAACCAAUGCAUUUAUAUACUCAAUUAGACCAAAAUACCCUUUUUAUCAAAGUGCACCCAAAAUGAACAUAACACAUAAUGUUUCCAUUCUAAACUAAACAUUUCCAACUCAAGCCAUAUCACAUAGCUUGAUCAAACCCAAAAAUUCAUACCAAAAACUAACUAUACAUGCCAUAUUUACAUUAAUUGCAUGAGGUCCAAAAGUACCAAAAAUCGUUUUGAUAGUGUGAUAGCCAAUCUCCGACCUUGUCCAAAAUCGAGCUAGCUUCCGAAUCUAUAGAACAUAAGAAAAUGAAUGAAGUAAGCACUAAGCUUAGUAAGCUGUAUAAUAUAGAAUUAAAAUUUUCCAAUUUAAUAUCUGAGCAUUAAAACAAUUAAAAUCAAUUCAUUUGUCCACAAAGUCUAUUCACAUCACCAUCCAACAGUUAGUCAUAUAGCCAAAUAUAUCAUGUCGUCCCUAUAAUUCAUAUAUUCAUAAAACAACAAUCCAUGUAAAUCAUGUAUUUCAUGUAACUUUUAAAUUAUGUAAAUCAUAUAACAUUUAUAUCAAUUUUUUUCCUAUUCGUAUAACCUGCAAUUCAUCGGUAAUAACAGAAAUUUAUCCGUAACUUAUACAUAUCAACGGUAAUUCAUCCAUAUAAUUACGUAGCUUAUUCAUAUAAUCAAUAACAGUAAUUAUGCCCGUUGAACCUAUUAGAACAUCGAGGGAUACACGGGGGAUACACUAUAAGUGUAUUUAUCAGAAAUUCGUCAAUUCAUUGUCAUUUUCGCUCUUUCGAGCCAUGAUCGGUAAGCUCAUUCCGAGCUGAAUAAAUGGUAAGCUCUAUUGAGCUGAAACGGUAAGCUCCGUAGAGCUGAAACGGUAAGCUCAUACGAGCUGUGGUGAGUCCGCAAAAAAUGCAAGAGCUCGACCAAACGGUAACCCUAGUGACAAGUCACUCGUAUCCGACAAUUUUCUAAAGUUCAAACGGGCUCAGUAUUAUCCAAUUUCAUCAAUUAAGCAAUGAAAAAAAAUCAAUAACACAAUUUCUCAAUUCAUAUGUGUAUAUAUAUCUAAUAUUAUUGAGUACAUGCAUUUAAAUACUCAAAAUUUCAUAUUCAAUGCCUAUUAUCAUGCUAAAUCUAUAUAACGUAUAUAGUAUUUGUAACAUUUCAUUUGCAUUCAUGUAAACAGUAAUAUAAUAGUAUACCGGUAAUUUAAAAUUCAAGUAUAUCAUUCAUUCAACUUACAUACAUUCAUUUUUGGACAAUUACAAAUAUUUAAUAAUUCAAUUCUAGCUACACGAACUUACCUCGUAUUUGCUCGAAUACUUUCG
rnacentral:lncRNA from 1 species